CGAUGCUGCGGAAGUUCUGUCCCACGCCCUGCCUGCCGGCGUUGACCUUCUCCGGGUAGACGCCGUCCUUGGGGUGGAGGUACUGCACCUCGCCGUUGGGGAAGACGCGGUAGAACUGGUAGGCGAUCUUGUACUUGGAGCGGAGGCGGUUGCCGAGGGCGAGGCACUGCUCCUUGCGGGCGAGCUUGAGGAGGUUGGGGCCCUCGCGCAUGAUGGCGGCGCCGCCGGUGGGCAUCUCGAAGACCUGCUCCUUGGGGGAGGUCCAGGUGAUGACGUAGAACUCCUCGACCUGGGCCUUGCGGAGCAGCCCACCGGUGCUGCCGCCGAAGAUCGGGGACGGCGUGGACGGGUCCAGCUGCGGCGGCACGAAGCCCGCGGGGGCGGGCUCCGCCGGCGGCGCGGCGGGCGCGGGGGUGUCCGGGGCCGCGGCGAAGAGCGGGGCCGGGCCGCGGGCGGAGGAUGGCAUGGCGAGGGUGGCGGGGCGGGGCUUGGCGGAUGGCGACCAGGCCGCGGUGAUCAGGUGGCGCGUCGCCGCCGAGGCUUGCGUGGCCAUGGCCAUGGCGGUGGCGCUCUAGCUUGUGGUUCUUGGCGAGGAGAUGGGGAAGAGAGCGGAGACCACACGCGCGCGCGGGAGAUGGAGUGGUGUCUGGUGGGCGAUGAGUAGGAGAGGAUGGCUGAGCUAAGAGGUACGGGGGCUUGGGGUGGAGACGGUGGGGGGGAGUGGAUAAGGGGAUAUGGCGAUAUGAGGCCGGCCAAUGGGGAGUGCCGAUUUUGAUACGGCCGGGCUCUCCGCACCGCCACCACACACAUGUGCAUGUAUGCCCCGGUUGCCAUGACGCGCAGCGGCCACGCGACGAUAUUCUGAUCGCUCUCCACGGUUCAUCGUCUCUUGAUCCCGGCCACGUUCGCGUUUACGCUCAUGGUGCGUGAAGAAGCCAGAAAUAUACACCGUGUGUGUGCCACUUUUCGGUGUCACUGGCUUUUUUAUGGAACAAAACGUGCAUCUCAUUCUCAUCGAUAUCCGUCAAAGAAAGUGAAAAUUAUAUCUUUGCUCCUAAAAUUGUAUGUUUGCUCUCUCAUGUUUAUGUAAAGUUUGGCCAUUCGUUGCUGGAGGAACCCAUCGGACGAAGCCUGUCGGCCGAGGACGGUGGCGGAGGCGCUCUCCCCUCCCGGUUAGGUUUGGGUGAUGCAGGGCACCCACGGGCGUGGGGCACCUGCCUGGAUCUGGGUCACUGGCGGUGCGGCCUCUUUCCUCCGGCGAUGGUCCGUGAUGAUGGAUGUUUUAGAGUUGUUGAUAUAUUACUUUAUAAGAUAUUCAAGGAUAUUUAAUAAAAUGGUUGUAUGCAUCGUCCUGAUGCACAUGCUUUUCUAAAAAAACAAUUUGAGAGAACUAGGUUGUAGCCUAGUGGCAAGGGAGCGUAGUGGCGUCUUCAGCAACCAGGGUUCGAUCCACGUCGGGGACGAAUUUCUGGUUUCUCAUUAGGGAUGCUUCUUCUAUAUCAAUAAACCAUGGGUGCUAGUGCCCAUGGAGUUUCAUUUUUUUUUUUUAAAACAAUUUGAAUAGUUCAAAACCAGACCCAAGCGGUAAUCGGCAUGGAGCUAACAUGCCACUACUUUUUGGCUCACACUUGCUACGUUGUAGUCAAAACCAAUAUUUCUCCCACAUUCGUUCUUCUCUCUCUCUCAACUCGCCACAAGUGCACUCGAAACUUAACCGCGGUUGAUCCACUAGUAGAAAAAAAGGCUUUGGUCCACUUGAUGAAAUCUCAUUAGUCUCGGUUCACUCACGAACCGGGACCCAUGUGGGCAUAGGUCACGAUUCGUGAGGCCAGGGCGCCGGCCAGGCCUCAUGGGCCAUUUGUCCCGGUUCGUUUGUCACCUUCGGUCCCGGUUCCAAACACGAACCGGGACCAAUGUGCCUCUCUCCUGGCUCACAACCAGUAGUCCCAGUUUAUGGCUGGAACCGGGACCUCAGGUUGUCCUUUGGUCUCGGUUCUAGGCACAAACCGAGACCAACGGUUGGCCUAUAUAUACCCCCGCGAGCAGAGCAGUGCACUGCUUUGUUUUUUCGGACGGUUGUGGGAAAGCUUUGUGGUGCUCUAGCUCACCUCCUAUGCACAUGAGGUAUUCAAUGAAAUGUCCGAGCCACACUUAAGCUUUCUCCUUUAUAAGCUCCUUGUCCAAUCUCUAUUUUCAUCAAGAUUUGUGUAGUUUUCAAUACACUUUAUUAUAUAACUCACGCAGAUGAACCGUCAAUGGAUGUACAAUGACCGACGCACCUCUAAGUAUAUUAAUGUCCUGCAUAAUUUUCUCGAAGCGGCUAGGGCAAACAAGUGUAAUGGUUUUAUGCAUUGUCCAUGUACUGUUUGUGGGAAUACGAAGAAAUUCUCCGACUAUAAAACCCUUCACUUCCACCUGCUUCAGAAGGGUUUUAUGUCACACUAUAAUGUUUGGAUCAAGCAUGGAGAAAGAGGGGUUAUGAUGGAAGACAACAUAGAAGAAGAGGAUGAUGACAACUACCCGCCCCCUGAAUACGGUGAUGCUGCAAUGGGGGGGAGUUGAAGAUCAAGAGGAACCAGAUGAUGUGCCCGAUGAUGAUCUUCGUCGGGUCAUUGUUGAUGCACAUAGAGAAUGCGAAAGUGAAAGGGAGAAGUUGAAGUUCGAUCGCAUGUUAGAGGAUCACAAAAAAGGGUUGUAUCCAAGUUGCGAAGAUGACAACACAAAGCUCGAUACCACACUAGAAUUGCUGCAAUGGAAGGCGGACAAUGGUGUAUCUAACAAGGCAUUUAGUUCGCUGCUAAAAUUAAUGAAGAAGAAGCUUCCAAAGGAUAAUUAAUUGCCCGGCAGUACGUACGAAGCGAAGAAGGUUCUAUGUCCUCUAGGAUUGGAGGUGCAGAAGAUACAUGCAUGCCCUAAUGACUGCAUCCUCCACCGCGGUGCGUACGAGAAUUUGAACGCAUGCCCGGUAUGCGGCGCAUUGCGGUAUAAGAUCAGAAGAGAUGACCCUGGUGAUGUUGAGGGCCAGCGCACCGGGAAGAUGGUUCCUGCCAAGGUGAUGUGGUAUGCUCCUAUAAUACCACGGUUGAAACGUUUGUUCAGAAACAAAAAGCAUGCCGAGUUGAUGCAAUGGCACAUAAAAGACCGUAAGAAAGACGGGAAGUUGAGAGCACCCGCUGACGGGUCGCAAUGGAGAAAGAUCAAGAGAAAGUGGAGCGACUUUACACGUGACCCAAGGAACGUAUGGUUUGGUUUAAGUGCAGAUGGCAUUAGUCCUUUUGGGGACAGAGCAGCAAGGCAUAGCACAUGGCAUGUGACUCUAUGUAUGUAUAACCUUCCUCCUUGAUUGUGCAUGAAGCGAAAGUUCAUUAUGAUGCGAGUGCUCAUCAAAGGCCCUAGGCAACCCGGCAAUGACAUUGAUGUGUACCUAAGGCCAUUAGUUGAUGAACUUUUACAGCUAUGGAAUGGAAAUGGUGUACGUGUGUGGGAUGAGAACGAACAGGAGGAAUUUAACCUACAUGCUUUGUUGUUUGUAACCAUCAACGAUUGGCCUGCUCUCAGUAAUCUUUCAGGACAGACAAACAAGGGAUACAACACAUGCACACACUGUUUAGAUGACACCGACAGUAUAUAUUUGGACAAAUGCAGGAAGAAUGUGUACAUGGGGCAUCGUCGAUUUCUUCCGACCAACCAUCAAUGUCGAAAGAAAGGAAAGCAUUUCAAAGGUGGGGCAGAU
rnacentral:lncRNA from 1 species